rnacentral:rRNA from 1 species
AGCAGCCGCGGUAAUUCCAGCUCCAAUAGCGUAUAUUAAAGUUGUUGCAGUUAAAAAGCUCGUAGUUGAAUUUCGGGAUCAAUAUGCUGGUCGUGCCAUUGGUACGUACUAGUAUUAUUGGUUUCUUCCUUCUGAUGAAUCAUGAUGUCAUUAAGUUGAUGUCAUGGGGAAUCAGGACUGUUACUUUGAAAAAUUAGAGUGUUUAAAGCAGGCUCGCGCUUGAAUACAUUAGCAUGGAAUAAUGAAAUAGGACGUUUGAUUCUAUUUUGUUGGUUUCUAGGGUUGACGUAAUGAUUAAUAGGGAUAGUUGGGGGCAUUAGUAUUCAAUUGUCAGAGGUGAAAUUCUUGGAUUUAUUGAAGACUAACUACUGCGAAAGCAUUUGCCAAGGAUGUUUUCAUUAAUCAAGAACGAAAGUUAGGGGAUCGAAGACGAUCAGAUACCGUCGUAGU